rnacentral:lncRNA from 1 species
CUGUACAGUAGGUGGCGGUGGUUGCGAUUCGCCAUAGAAAAAGUUAAAGAAGAAGAAGAGGCGUUGCAUUCAGAGAGAAGAGAGAUACUGAAGAAAGAGAGAGGCGGAGAACGAGAAAGCAGAAGAGAGGAGGGAAUAGUAAAGAAUUCAGGAAUAGCCUUUUUUUUUUUUGGUCUACGUAAACGUUAGGUUUUCCGUAGAUCAAGGAAAAGUCAACCGCUUUUACGUUGCAACAACACGAGGACAGAGAGAGGAGAGACGGCACGGAAGAGCUUCUCUUUGUACUUCAAAUAAGUGGAGACGCUACUGCUGGUUUGUAGGCUCUCCUAUACCUUUAUACGCUCUAUUCUAAUACCGUAAAUGAACAAUUAUAUAGGCUUUUUAUUUUAAUCUAUAUAUUUUUUUUAAAGUCAAUUUGAUUUGGAAACCACGAAGUGAACCUAAUGCCGUGUUCUUUUUUUGCAAGAAGGGAACAAUAGCAGUAAUCUAGCUGAAUUGUCUAGCUACUCUUUAUGAGAAUCACGGCUGUUUAGCGACCAACAAUACAAAACAAGGCGUCUGAAAUUCGCUCUACCACCACAACUUCCAGGAUCUUCUCCAUCGGACCGACCAUGGCUGCGGUUACCAGCCCAGAGACGAGCCCUCAACCCCGGGUAUAUUUCCAGACGGUAGCCUCCGGUUCAACCGAAGAACCGGAGAUACCUGUUCGGAAACAAGGGCGAGUAACCGUCAAAUAUGACCGGAAAGAACUAAGGAAGAGACUAAAUCUGGAGGAAUGGAUAAUCGACCAGCUAACGGCUCUUUACAACUGUGAGGAGGAGGCUAUACCAGAGUUGGAGAUAGAUGUGGAUGAGCUGCUGGACAUGCCUAGUGAUGAUGACAGAGGAGCCAGAGUUAAAGAUCUCCUGGUAGACUGUUACAAACCUACUGAGGACUUUGUGUCAGAUCUGCUGGAUAAGAUACGUGGCAUGCAGAAGCUCACCACCCCCCAGAAGAAAUAACCUCAACCCUGAGUCACCCCUCCUCUUCACCCCCUGCCUCCUCCCGCCUCCCUCCCUCACUCCAACCUCACCCCACAGAAGAAAUAGGAGCUUGGCUUCCUCAGAGAUGGAGGAGGAAGAGGGAGGAGAAAAAGAGGAGAGAAGGGGCAGAGGAGUAAGAGAGGUGAUUGAAGCAGCCAAUCACAUCUAAGCAGGGUGUAUGAUGUCCUGUGAUUUUUAUUUUAAUGUUUUAUUUAGUUUACAUUUAUUUAGAUUACAUUUUUUUAAAGGUGGUUUGUAUUGUUGUUAAAUGAUCAAGCGAUCGGUCAUAUUUCUCAUGUUAAUGAGUGAACAUAGCAUACUAUAUUGUAGCUGUAAGCCAAGCCCAGGAUAUAUUCUGAGUUUUAGUAGCCAAGCCAGGAUAUAUUCUGAGUUUUAGUAGCCAAGCCCAGGUUAUAUUCUGAGUUUUAGUAGCCAAGCCCAGGAUAUAUUCUGAGUUUUAGUAGCCAAGCCCAGGACAUAUUCUGAGUUUUAGUAGCCAAGCCCAGGAUACAUUCUGAGUUUUAGUAGCCAAGCCCAGGAUACAUUCUGAGUUUUAGUAGCCAAGCCCAGGAUAUAUUCUGAGUUUUAGUAGCCAAGCCCAGGAUAUAUUCUGAGUUUUAGUAGCCAAGCCCAGGAUGUAUUCUGAGUUUUAGUAGCCAAGCCCAGGAUAUAUUCUGAGUUUUAGUAGCCAAGCCAGGAUAUAUUCUGAGUUUUAGUAGCCAAGCCCAGGAUGUAUUCUGAGUUUUAGUAGCCAAGCCCAGGAUAUAUUCUGAGUUUUAGUAGCCAAGCCCAGGAUGUAUUCUGAGUUUUAGUAGCCAAGCCCAGGAUAUAUUCUGAGUUUUAGUAGCCAAGCCCAGGAUAUAUUCUGAGUUUUAGUAGCCAAGCCCAGGAUAUAUUCUGAGUUUUAGUAGCCAAGCCAGGAUAUAUUCUGAGUUUUAGAAUGAGUCCCAAAAUGGCACGUUAUUUAUUACCUUCUAUAGUCCAUUACAUUUGACCAGGGCUCUGGUCCAAAGUAGUGGACUAGGUUUUAAGGGUGCCGUUUGGGGAUGGGAGAGACUCCUAUGUAUAGUACAGUGUGUGUGUGUGUGUGUGUGUGUGUGUGUGUGUGUGUGUGUGUAGUCUAGACCUCAGUGAAAACACAGACCGGGGGACUUGACAAAGUGACCUUUUUUUCCUCUUUAGUUCUAUCUCUUUAUCACUGUUUAUUGUUCUGUCAGAUAUUUCAUGUUCCAUAAUGUGCAGGUGUAAGGCCUUUGUCAGUGAGGACUCUUGUAGAGAGAUUUCAGGAGACGAGUAAACCAAUGAGGGAGGGAGGGAGGGACGGAGGGAGGCACUGGGUAGUGGAAAAUGUGUCGAUGUGUUCAUCCAGAUAGCCACACACACACCCAGGGAACAGCAGAAACACAGACCACAGCUGCUGCUCCUUCAUACUCUCACACAGAUGUGAACACUGGUACACACACACAUAAACACACACUGGCUCUCUCUCGUCAACACACACACGGGAAGGAGGGGGGGUAUAAUCAUUGAGAGAGGGAUAAAUGGAGAAAAAGAGGGAGAAUCAGAGGUCUUACUCUUCCUGGCUUGGCUGCCUCACAAGGCCUUAGUGUUGCCAAUCAUGCAGCUCUCUCACUCACCCCAUGUCUCUCUUUGGCCCUCACUCCUUCCUCUGUCUCCUUCCCUUUCUACUUCCAGCAAUCUACAGAUGACUCCAUCCCUCCCUCCAUCUCUCUCUCUCCUCUCCCUCCAUCUAUCCCUCUCGCUCUCUCCUUCCCUCCCUCCAUCUAUCCCUCUCGCUCUCUCCUUCCCUCCCUCCAUCUAUCCCUCUCGCUCUCUCCUUCCCUCCCUCCAUCUAUCCCUCUCGCUCCCUCCCUCCAUCCCACCAUCCCUCCCUCCUUCCCACCAUCCCACCCUCUCCCUCCUUCCCUUCCAUCUCUCUCUCCCUCCUUCCCUUCCAUCUCUCUCUCCCUCCUUCCCUUCCAUCUCUCUCUUCCUCCUUUCCUUCAUCCAGCUCUAUCCUUCCAUCCCUCCAUCUCUUGUUUAAUAACUGACGUUGCCUUAGGUCUAUAUUGAAGUUACAAACCAAAUAAAAGGAGACGUCCAUUUUUAACAACAAUUUUUAAACAAAAAAAAAUGAUCCUGUUGUUGUUUAGGAAGAGGUCAUCUAGAGGUCAUCUAGAGGUCAUCUAGAGGUCAUCUAGAGGUCAUCUAGACCUCUUUACGUUCUUUUAGAUGUGAAUAUCUAUUCUAGGUCAAUUAUUACUGUGUGUACUAUUAUAAUACCUGGUGCGCAUCCCAAAUGGAACCCUGUUCCCUAUAUAUAGGGAAUAGGGUGCCAGCCCUGGUCUAAAGUAGUGCCCUAUAUAGGUAAUAGGGUGCCAGCCCUGGUCUAAAGUAGUGCCCUAUAUAGGGAAUAGGGUGCCAGCCCUGGUCUAAAGUAGUGCCCUAUAUAGGGAAUAGGGUGCCAGCCCUGGUCUAUAGUAGUGCCCUAUAUAGGGAAUAGGGUGCCAGCCCUGCUCUAUAGUAGUGCCCUAUAUAGGGAAUAGGGUGCCAGCCCUGGUCUAUAGUAGUGCCCUAUAUAGGGAAUAGGGUGCCAGCCCUGGUCUAUAGUAGUGCCCUAUAUAGGGAAUAGGGUGCCAGCCCUGGUCUAUAGUAGUGCCCUAUAUAGGGAAUAGGGUGCCAUUUGAGAAGCGGCCCCUGAUAACCUGUUGUUGCGUGUCAGACCUUUUUCUUUUGUUACUGUACGACAACUUUGACUGUUGAAAUGCUGUUUUAGAAGUGAUGUGUUUUUAAUAAGAAACUGAAGAACGAAAAUGUAGCGACAGGGUUUUUGUUUUACCACAAUGCUGUUACACUUUUAUGCAACUUUAAUAAACAAAAUAUGUUAAAAGGGGGUGUGUUCAUGUGGUGGGUGUGACAACACUGACACUGGGAAUGGUUUUAACACCACCUGCAGGAUGUUUGUCACUAUGUAACUACUGUAGCUAAUGCAUCAAUACUGUCUUCACAAUCCCAGGGUGUUAGGGAUUGUGUUUCUGUGUCCCAAAUAGCUUAUUCCCCCCCCAAGGACAAAUUCCACUGCAAAUGCCAAUAGAAUAGAAUGGGGCUAUAGUGGCAUCUUCAGCUCUCUGGAUCUUUUCUAAUGUACUGUAUACUGAACCAAACUAUAAACUCAACAUGUAAAGUGAUGGUUUCAUCAACUGAAAUAUAAAAUCCCCAAAAUGUUCCAUACAUACAAAAUGCUUAUUUUUCUAAUUUGGUGCACAAAUUUGUUUACAUCCCCUGUUGGUGAGUAAUUUCUCCUUUGUUAAGAUAAUCCAUCCACCUCACAGCUUUGGUAUAUGAAGAAGCUGAUUAAACAGCUUAUUGCUGGCGUCAAUAAAAGGCCACUCUAAAAUGUGCAUUUUUGUCACAACACAAUACCACAGAUGUCUCAAGUUUUGAGGGUGCGUGUAAUUGAAUGUUCAUUUCUCUACCAUAAGCCACCUCCAAUAUCGUCUUAGAGAAUUUGUCAGUACGUCCAAUCGGCUUCACAAACGCAGACCACGUGUAACCACGCCAGCCAACGACCUCCACGCCAGCCAAGGACCCGUCCACGCCUGGCUUCUUCACCUGCGGGAUCGUCUGAG